UUCAGCUCAAUAAUAAGCAUUUAUGACCUCUAAUAGUUACCAGAGACACAAGAAAACAGAACAGAAUCCCCUCACAAGGAGUUCCUGUUUUUCUAGAUGAUGUAAAUCAAAUAGAAAUGUGGGCUAUGAAGAUAUUUUUAAAAGACACCAUUAAUUGACCAGGGGUGGCUAAAAGGGCAUCUUCAAGGAAGCAAGAAGCAAAAAUGAGGCGAUAACGCAUUCCAGGCACAUCGAAGCUUGUGUGUGUGAAAUAACUCUAGAAAUUAAUUAGCCACAAAUCUCUCCAGUUUUAUAAAUGGCCACCUGAAGCCCAAGACAGGAAAGAUAAGAACCGGUGUCAGGAAGAAUUCAGAUCUAGCUCUCUUCUGAUACCAGUCCAGCUGGCUAGCACCGUGCUGCCACUACUAGAAUGUUCCUCGUCUGAUGCCAUGGAGCGGCAUUUUGUUUGUUUUGGUGAUCAAUCCCGCUAGAGAAGGGAAGCAUGAUGCAAAAUGAUACAGGAAUGUCCUUCCUCGCUGAGCAUCCCAUGGUGAGUCCGCAGGCAGCCAUAGAAGUGCACAGAGCACGACUGCACAAGACCGUACACACCGCCUUCUCCUGAUUCUUCUCUGCAUGGACUCACACACAAGUACGCCUGCGGUUACUUUGUUUCCCCAGAUACAGCGUAAGCUCUGAGAUGAGAAGAUAUUCCGCUUUAUGCCCCCGGGGCAGGCAGGCGGUAAAAUAGAUUAGGAAGUACCUAAUUGGGGACUGAUGAUGAUCUCUGCCAAACGCCCCCCAGCUCCAGCACGGCUGGCACAGCGGCGUCCUCCCCGCAUCUCCUGUUCUUACGUUUAACAGCCAGGGAUUCCAGUGCUGGGUGUGGCCGUGCCACAGAUCUGUUUUGUUCUGACACUGGAUGCAUUUUCACCCUGACUGUGACCAGAUACGUGUCCAAAGACUGGAGAAGCCUCCUUUGGCUAUCAACGACUAUUCAAUAGGAGGAAAAAAAGAAGACUUUUGGAAUAAUCGAAUGCAACCCUUUCAUUUUACAAUUGCGGAAAUUAAGGCCAAGAAGAGUCAUAAAGACAAACUGAAACUUGACAAUAUCUUCUCUGCCUUCCAUUUUCUUCUGAAUGAUGCGGAACUUAGAGGCGAGCACUGA
rnacentral:lncRNA from 1 species